rnacentral:rRNA from 1 species
UACGUAGGCAGCGAGCGUUGUCCGGAUUUAUUGGGCGUAAAGAGCGUGUAGGCGGCCAUACAGGUCAGCUGUGAAAACUCGAGGCUCAACCUCGAGACGUCGGUUGAAACCGUUUGGCUAGAGUCCGGAAGAGGAGAGUGGAAUUCCCGGUGUAGCGGUGAAAUGCGCAGAUAUCGGGAAGAACACCGGUGGCGAAGGCGGUUCUCUGGGCCUUACCUGACGCUGAGGAGCGAAAGCGUGGGGAGCGAACAGG